AUUACUUUGUAAUGAUAAUAAGAUUAUUCUUUAUAGUUAGGUACUCAAAAUGGUAGUUAUUUAUAGCAGUGACCAGGGGAUAAUAUUAUACAUUCGUUAGAAAUAAUAGGGUAGCCAUAACUUAACUUUAUUAAUGCACAGAAUUGGUAAAAAAAGUGCCAGCAACCGCGGUCAUACUUUUGCUUUGAAAGAAUAAUAAACAGAGAGGGAUAAAACUUAUAUUAACACCAUAUAACUAUUUUAAAAAAUGCUCUAAUUAGUGAAAUAAUAUAGCAUUACAUUGUUUAAUCAAAUAGUAUAAUCUAAGUUUGUUCAAAAAAGUGGCUUUAUAAACUAGGAUUAGAGACCCUAUUAUACCAGUCUUUAAAACAUACCUUUAGGAGUAAUAUAAUAUAAUAUAAAAACUAAAAUUACAUGGCGGCAGGCUAUAAAACAAUUAGGGGAACUUACCCUGUAAUUGAUAAUCACCAAGUAAAUAUACUAUAAUUUAAAGUUUGUAUGCCGUUGUCUUCUGUUUUGUUUGACAAAACAAUUCAAUAAAUAAUAAAACCAUUUUAUGAAAAGUCAAAUCAAGGUGCAGCCAACAUUAUAGAAGAGGCGAGUUACAUUAUCUAGUUAAUAAUUUCUGAACUUAUUUCAAAAAAUAAGCUUUAAGGCGGACUUAAUAGUAAUCAUGAAAUAAUAAUUAUAUGUUGAACAUACUUAUAAUUGUGCACAAAUCGCCCGUCACUCUCAUUUCACACUGAGAUAAGUCGUAACAUAGUAGAGGUAAAUGAAUUUGUCUCU
rnacentral:rRNA from 1 species